GUCUCUUUGUAAAAUAUAAAUAGAGAGUCGGGCCUGCUCGGUGAAUAAGUUUUUAACAGCUGCGGUAUUUUAACUGUACUAAGGUAGCAUAAUAAUUUGCCUUAUAAUUUGAGGCUAGAAUGAAUGGUUUGACGAAGGUUAAUCUGUCUCCAUCUUAUUUUUUAGAAGUUAAUUUUUAAAGUGAAAAAGCUUAAAUCUUUCAAAGGGACGAGAAGACCCUAAUGAGCUUAUAAUUUUAUUAUCAUUAUUUAAAACAUUUAGGUGGUGGUAUAUAAAUUUUAAUUGGGGUGAUUAAGGAAUAAAUUGUGUAUAGUAACUUCCUUAAAUUAGGUAUUUGUAGAUAAAGUAACCAAUGUAAUAUUGCUUAUAGUAUAGUUACCAUAGGGAUAACAGCGUAAUUUGUUUAGAGAGUUCUUAUUGAAAAACGAGAUUGCGACCUCGAUGUUGGAUUAAAGUAACCCUAAGGUGCAGAAGCUUUAGUAGGUAAAUCUGUUCGAUUUUUAAUACUUUACA
rnacentral:rRNA from 1 species